CGGGAAACCCCAGUUUCUCUCUCUCUCUCCCCGCGUCCGAAACAGGCCGAAACAGAGCAAUGCUUUCCGGCCACAGUUCUCCGCCCUCCGGCCACCAAACGACGCCAGACCACCUCCCUUGCCUUCGCCUCGACUCCCUGCAGCUGCUGGACGUGGUGGUUUCCACCGGCACGUCCUGAAAACCGGCGAACCAGCGGUGUUCCGAUCCGAGCUCAAAACGGAGUCAACUCCGAUAUCUCUUGAUUCCGACCACCAAUCUUCAAGUUUCUUGGCUUUUUGAACUCGCCUCAGCCUUCUUAUCAAACCCCAAGAAGGAUCGCUCAAGUGGUGGACGUUUUCGAGCUCGUCGGAGCCUCGUCGGAAAACUGGACAAAUCCGGCCACCUAGACUGUUUAGGUGAUUGACGGUCUUCCUUGGUGAGCGGUUGUAGCGUGUUUUGUAAAAUUGAAGACGCAGCGGGAUUAGAGCGGGUAGUGUCACAGGUCAGGAGAAUCAGGGCAGUGAUCGUGCGGUUUAGAAA